rnacentral:tRNA from 1 species
GCGGGUGUGGCGGAAUUGGUAGACGCGCUAGACUUAGGAUCUAGUGUUUUCGUCCUGGGGGUUCGAGUCCCUUCACCCGCA